rnacentral:pre_miRNA from 1 species
CAAGUACUCCCUACGUCCGGAAUUACUUGUCAUCAAAAUGGAUGUGUCUAGAACUAAAAUACAUCUAGAUACAUCCAUUUCAAUGACAAGUAUUUUCGGACAGAGGGAGUACAAG